AUUCUUGUGGGAUGUGGUGCUGAUGAGCUCAUUGACCUAAUUAUGCGAUGUACAUUGGAUCCUGGUGAUAAGAUUGUGGACUGUCCUCCAACCUUUACAAUGUAUCAAUUUGAUGCUGCAGUUAAUGGUGCAGAGGUUAUCAAGGUUCUGAGGAAGCCAGACUUUAGCUUGAAUGUUAAGCUUAUUGUUGAUGCUGUUCAACUGGAGAACCCCAAAUGCAUUUUCUUAACUUC
rnacentral:misc_RNA from 1 species